AUUGAACGCUGGCGGCAUGCUUUACACAUGCAAGUCGAACGGUAACAGGCCUUCGGGUGCUGACGAGUGGCGAACGGGUGAGUAAUGCAUCGGAACGUACCCAGAGGUGGGGGAUAACGCAGCGAAAGCUGUGCUAAUACCGCGUGUGAUCUGAGGAUGACAGCGGGGGACCGAGCAGCAAUGUUUGGCCUCGCGCCUUUGGAGCGGCCGAUGUCGGAUUAGCUAGUUGGUGGGGUAAAGGCCUACCAAGGCGACGAUCCGUAGCUGGUCUGAGAGGACGACCAGCCACACUGGGACUGAGACACGGCCCAGACUCCUACGGGAGGCAGCAGUGGGGAAUUUUGGACAAUGGGCGCAAGCCUGAUCCAGCAAUGCCGCGUGCGGGAAGAAGGCCUUCGGGUUGUAAACCGCUUUUGGCAGGAACGAAACGGUGUCCGCUAAUACCGGGCGCUAAUGACGGUACCUGCAGAAUAAGCACCGGCUAACUACGUG
rnacentral:rRNA from 1 species